AUGAAAGGCACUGCAAAUUAUGGAAUUCACUACACCGGGCAUCCAAAGGUGCUUGAAGGGUAUAGUGACUCAAACUGGAUCUCAGAUGCUGAUGAGAUAAAGGCCACGAGCGGUUAUGUAUUCACUCAUGGAGGUGGCGCUGUUUCUUGGAAGUCUUGUAAGCAGACCAUCUUAACGAGGUCAACAAUGGAAACAGAACUCACAUCAUUAGAUACAGCUACGGUUGAAGCAGAUUGGCUUCGCCGGCUCUUGAAUGAUUUGCCGGUUGUUGAGAAACCUGUACCGGAUGUUCUUAUGAACUGCGACAAUCAAACUGUGAUCAUGAAAGUGAGCAGCUCAAAGGAUAACAUGAAGUCAUCAAGACACGUUCAGAGAAGGUUAAAAUCUGUCAGGAAAAUGAAAAAGUCUGGAGUUAUUGCGUUGGAUUAUAUCCAAACGUCUAAAAAUCUGACAGAUCCUUUUACCAAGGGUCUAUCACGUAAUGUGAUAGAUAAUGCGUCGAGAGAGAUGGGUAUGAGACCCACAAUAUGA
rnacentral:rRNA from 1 species